rnacentral:rRNA from 1 species
GACAGGGGAUGCAAGCGUUAUCCGGAAUGAUUGGGCGUAAAGCGUCUGUAGGUGGCUUAAAAAGUCUCCUGUCAAAGAUCAGGCUUAACCCUGGGCCGGCAGGAGAAACUCUUAGGCUAGAGUUUGGUAGGGGCAGAGGGAAUUCCCGGUGGAGCGGGUGAAAUGCGUAGAGAUCGGGAGGAACACCAAAGGCGAAAGCACUCUGCUGGGCCACAACUGACACUGAGAGACGAAAGCGAGGGGAGCAAAAGGG